CCAAAACAUAAAGUUUUGGUCCUAAACUUGCCCUUGUUUUUUAUCAAAGUUAUACAUGCAAGCCUCCACGCACCAGUGAGAAUGCCCACACACCCCUAAACAGCCACCCGGAGCAGGUAUCAGGAUACAACACACUCUUUCGCCAAAGACACCUUGCACACGCCACACCCACACGGGCCCUCAGCAGUAAUUAACAUUAAAACAUGAGCGAAAGCUCGACUUAGUUAUGAUCAACAUGGUCGGUAAAUUUCGUGCCAGCCACCGCGGUUAUACGAAAGACCAAAAACAACGGCUCUCGGCGUAAAGCGCGACCAGGGAUAUCAACCAAUUAAAGGGGAACAGCAGCCAGGUCGUAAAACACAACUGCACGCUAGAACCACAACAAAAAUGCCUUUAAAUCACCCCACUUCACGAAAGCCAAGAAACAAACUGGGAUUAGAUACCCCACUAUGCUUGGCCCUUAACACAGAUGGUACAAAUACACCACCAUCCGCCAGAGAACUACAAGCGAAAAGCUCGAAACUCUAAGGACUUGGCGGUGCUUCAAAUCAAUCUAGAGGAGCCUGUCCUAUAAUCGAUACUCCCCGUUUUACCUUACCCCUCCUAGCCAAACAGCCUAUAUACCGCCGUCGCCAGCCUACCCUAUGAGAGAAACAAAGUGGGCAAAAAAGUCCCUAACUAACACGUCAGGUCAAGGUGUAGCACACGGAGCGGAAGAGAUGGGCUACAUUUAUUUAAAGAAUAAACACGAAUGGUGUACUGAAACACACACCUGAAGGCGGAUUUAGUAGUAAGACAAACAAGAACAGUUGUCUUAAAUCUGCUCUGAAGCGCGCACACACCGCCCGUCACCCUCAUCACAUGUAACACAACAUAAAAUAUUACACAACAAUACAGCCCAGA
rnacentral:ncRNA from 1 species